UGGGGAGAAGAGGCAAAGAAUUAAGCUCAGACUUGAGAUGGUCCCAAAAAUACAGUCACAUUCAGAGACAUUCCACUGUAUUAAUUUUGCCCUCCGCUGACAUUUUAAUACCAUGCCAACUUUUAUCCCAGAUUAAUUUGUUUCAUCCCAAUAUAAGGCAUGGAGUGGAAAUAUCUGACAUAUUGUGGCAGUGGAGAAUGAGAGCCCAUCUAUUUGCUGGUGCCUUUGACUUGGAAUUUGGAACACAGUGGCGGGAGCUUGAGCCAGGCACCAGCUAGCUCCUUGUGAUGGCAGUCAUGCCUGCAUUUGUACUGCACAAGUCCAAAGGAGCACUUGGUUCAUUCUGCGUAACAGGAGGUGAGCCUCGAUUUACCUCAGCUCUGUAGGGUGAAUAUUCUUUAAGAUCUGUCUAAAACACCUACAAAGCUACUUCCAAGAAUCCUUUGGAAAUCCCUUAUGUAGCCAGGGUUUUGCUACCAGUCCAGCAAUUUGAGAUCCACCUCUGCUGAUCUGUAGGGGAGAGGAGCCAGGAGGUUUUGGCUUCAAACUCAGCUACCCUCCAGCUCGCCUCUGUUAUGGGGACAGAACUUCAAAGAAAACAUAGCCCCUGCCGUGAAUCGGGACUCUGGUGUUGGUUCAUCGCUUUCAAUCUGAGUAUGUAGAUGGGGUUAAAAUAAUCCCCAUUCUAACUGUUCACCCAUCUCAUUUUUCAGCACUGUGCCCUCUGGGAAGUGUGACUGGCUGAAAGAAACACAUUUGGAAGCUCAGUGUUGUGACAGACAAGAAAUUGGAUGAGAAAACAGAGGAAGGGCAGACUACAGAAACAGUUUAGAGGAGACAGCUCAUGGUGUUGGCAGUGGUUGUAUGGAGAAGUGGAUUUUAAUGAAGUGCAGUUCUCUUACUCCACUGGAACUUCAGCAAUCACAAGCUGAAUGAUAGCAUCCUGUCAAGAUAACGCUGACAACGUUGUUACUGAGAGGAAAGAUUUAUUCUGAAUCCAUGAAUUUUGUAGCAAAAUUACACUUUAAAAUGACUUGUCAUGAUUCUUUAUUCUUAUUUACAUUCUUCUGAGAAUAUUUUUUCCUUGGAAGUAAUAUGAAAGGGCAGUAGCCGACCAGACUUUAAGGUGAGAUUCCUUUCACCUAACCAGGUUUCUAUGGUGCAGAUGUUUGCAGCCGCAGUGGACACCCAAAACUCCCUGUAGAGGGAGAAACAGGCACUUUAGGGGCUGCAGAUAUUGACCUUGUGUGGAGGUGAGAUCCACACUAGCCUCUGGCUGUACAGACAGCAUGCUGCAGCUGGCUCUGCAAGCAGUGUUGCUGGAACAACGCAGAUAGAACAAGUGGAGGAAAGCACUGCAAAUGAGCUAUCAAAGUGGAAAUCAGCCCCAUAUUUUCAAAGUUUUUGUCUACCAGAAGGUUCAAAGUCCUGCAUCAAAAGUGACUUCUUAAGGCAUGAUGCAUGUGUGACUGAUUCUGUUUGUGCCUAAUCCUGCCCUUUCUCCAGUGGCUUUCAACCCAGCUGUGAAUUUCAGCCACAUCAAAAAGAGGCAGUAAUGUCUCAAAGACAAAUUUAUUUUGAAAAUUAAUGUUUGUAUAGAGAAACCAAAUGAAUGAAAGAGGGUGGCACCAGGAGCUGGGCAGCUCCUUGCCACAUUGGACUCACAGCCAGCUGCCCUGCCACCAGCAGGCUCUGA
rnacentral:lncRNA from 1 species